AGGGUUUGACAUCCCUUGAACGAUGUAGAGAUACAUAAUUCCCUUCGGGGACAAGGAGACAGGUGGUGCAUGGUU
rnacentral:rRNA from 1 species